GUGAGUCAUCGAAUCUUUGAACGCAUAUUGCGCCCUCUGGUAUUCCGGGGGGCAUGCCUGUCCGAGCGUCAUUACUACCUUCAAGCACGGCUUGUGUGUUGAGCAUUUUGUUCUAAUUCUAAAUGAACAAGGCUCGAAAUGCAGUGGCGAUGCCUAAAUUGGUUGCCUGAACGUAUGGGGCUCUGUCACACGUUUGUGGUUUCCCAGUUUUGCAUCUUGCUCCCCAACCCUUCUAAGAAAUCUCGAAUUGACCUCGGAUCAGGUAGGAAUACCCGCUGAACUUAAGCAUAUCAAUAAGCGGAGGA
rnacentral:misc_RNA from 1 species